GUGAUCCCUCACUUAUCACGGUUAAUGGGGACCAGAACCAGCCGUGGUAAGUGAAAAACCGCCAAGUAGGGUUUAAACCUUUUGAUUAGAAAACCUUCUACUGUACGCCCCGGCUAGCUCCUGGCUAGCUAUCGUCGCGCAGCCUAUGCGUCAUAUGAUGAGACAAUUAAUCGGUAUUGUAGCCGAGUAAACAAAGAGCGAAGUGCUGCUGCUGUGGGACGGUGUCCAUUUUCUCUCUCACUCUUUCUCCCUAAAUGGUCUUUGAAACCCCAAAGUUGUGUUAAUCAAAUCCAGUGGCCUCCCGUUAUUCGUUUUACUGGACAAUCGCGGUGGUUUAAACAAAAAACAAAAAAAAAAGCCCACACGCAUUGAAAUAAAUUCCAUGGAUAAGUAAUUCCAUCCUGCAGUGCUCGCGCGCGUUUCCAAGCUAGCUCCAUUAAAAGACUCUCGUCUCUGAUGGACUACCAAGAAGUCUUUUAAAGUUCACAAAAUGGGCCACCAAAGGUCAUUGAACACUCAAAAUUGU